UGCAAUCUGUGAUGCAAGUUUUCAUCAUUUCUGAUCAACCCAUGAUUAUUAUUUGAAUUAUCACCAUCUUUCGGCUGAGGUUGCA